AUGGCGGUGGCGGUCUACAAUCAACCUCCGACUAUAGUUAACUACUUUUCAAGCAUCUUAUCUCCUCAAUUACCUUGGAUAAGAGAUCAGAAUGAUAUAGAAAGUCCCUAAUAACCUAAGUGCUUGCCUGCGUCCAGUUCUCCUCAGAGCACAGGUUGGAAUAUGAGAAUUGAGUCAGUCUACACCAGUUUAUCAGUCAGCCACCAUCAUAAAUAUGGUGUAUAACAUAUCACCCAAAGCUCUGCCUGGGGACAGCAAUCAUUUAUUUUCACAGAUCUGCAGAUUAGCUUAGGAUUGGCUGAUAUAGGCUAGGUCUCAGGAAAAGCCACUUGGCUCUCCUAAGUAUAAUCAUCCUUCUCCUCGUACCAGCAAGAAAACCCAAGAAUGAUAUUAUG
rnacentral:lncRNA from 1 species